CGCUCUCAAAGUAGCAUAUAUUAUUCAAUCUUGAUGAAAGAGGGACACAAGCCAUCAUCUAUAGUGAUGGUGCCUCUUACAAACUUCAACACACGGGUAACAAGCAUACACUCAAGAGUCAAGAGGUGGCUAGGUUUUGUGUGUACAAUGGAACACGCAGGCAUGUACACAACCAAGUAUACUCCACCCCAAACUAUAGUCUUUGCAAUGGUUUUGGCAGUUGCUCAGAAACCAUGAAUCUUGAUGUGUUCCUUCUUCACAAUGCCGG
rnacentral:misc_RNA from 1 species